GACAAACCCCAGGGUGCAAUUUACUAUUUUGGUUUCCUGCAUGAAUUCCAGGAAUUGUCUUGUUAACCUUUAGAUCAGCAGUCAGUGGCAGAAGAAAUCUGAUCGAGCAGUUCCGUACACAGGGUAAUGGCUCUUUCUUUCUCAUCCCCAGGCCAGUUAGUCUCUUAAUGGACACAGCAGCAGUGUAAUAGAAUUCUUAGAUAUUUAUUUUAUGAUAUAAUCUUCUGUGUGAAUAGUGCUGAUCUAGAUUAUGACUUGGCCUAUUUUAAGAGAAGUUUCAAUAGCAUGUGGCUUGGCUCACCUUAGUUUUUUAAACAGUAUAAAAAAAUAUACGAGGAGUUAAGUUAAUCGAGAGAACAGUCCAUCAUAUAUCAGGAAUUAUUAUUGGAAAAAAUAAUAUGAAGGACACAGAGAGGCAGAAAGAGAGAGAGAGAAAAGGAGAUAUGGGCAGAGAGAGAGAGUAAACCAAUGACUGUCCCAAGCCAUUAGAAUGAGGGAUAUUUCAGCUUGACUGAGCAAUUCAUUCUCAGCAUGUCACAUUGAAUUUUCUCAAUUCUAACAGCCCCCGCACUCCUCACUUUUUCCUAUCCUUUCAGAUGCUAAAAUAUUGCUUCCUAACAGUUAUUCCAUCUAAAUUAUGUUCACACACUUUCCAAAAAUUGUGAAAUCUGCUUGUUUGGAUUGUUAAUCACAGUGAACAUUAAUAUUCAGUAAAUUAAGUUUUAAUUAAUCAAAGAACAUUUCAAAUAUAUGUAAACCAUAUCUUUAAUAGGUUAAUGUUUAAUACAUGAAGGAAUGGAAGGUUUAGAGGAGCAUGUUCAUCUCAUCCUGCCAAUCACAACCCAAAGGGUUACAUCACUGACCAAUGGCUGCACUGAUGAAAGCAAAUGUAUCAGACUCUUUUUCUGAUGGGCUUUUGGACACGUGAGACCAGCUGAACAUUUUAUUCAAUAACAAUUCGACUUUAUUGCAUUACAAAGGGGGGAGAGAUCAAAGCCCUCAGUGUCUGAUAAUGAAGACUGAAGGCCAAGGAAAUCGCACUGCCCAAGAAUAUCACCCCUCUAUAUGAAUCUAUGUAUAAUUGGAGGGGAAAAAGCUUGAUAUCUAAGAGGACUGCAGCUGAAUCUUGAGUGUAUCUUUUCUAUACACAACGGAGCAAAGCUGAUUUGUCAGUUUGCCAAGGUCACAGGAGAAGACGCUCUUCUUUAGAUUCAUAGCAGAGAAUAAUUUGGAGCUCUGGGUGGAAAAGUAAUGCUGUGGGUCACAUGUUUGAGACCCAGAAGACAAGAGUCACACAUAACAAAUGCAA
ensembl:lncRNA